rnacentral:tRNA from 1 species
AUUACUUUGGCAGAAUAGUGCUUUAAAUUUAGAAUUUAAUUAUGUAUAAAGUUUUAUACAAGUAAUA